rnacentral:rRNA from 1 species
CCGACUGCUAUUUGGGUGAGAAUAAGCCAUGCGAGUUGAAUGGGAUACCUAAAUUUCCCAUAGCAAACUGCUCAGUAACACAUGAUCAACUUACCCUAUAGAGAAAAAUAACCUCGGGAAACUGAGGAUAAUGUUUCAUAAUUGAAUUGGCUUGGAAAAGUUUUUCAAUGAAAAGGAUAAAAGAAAUGGUUUUUAUCUGCUAUAGGAUAGGAUCGUGUUCGAUUAUGGUUGUUGGUGAGAUAAUGGCUCACCAAGCCGAUAAUCGAUAGGGGCCGUGAGAGCGGGAGCCCCGAGAUGGGUACUGAGACAACGACCCAGGCCUUACGAGGCGCAGCAGGCGCGGAACCUCCGCAAUACACGAAAGUGUGUCGGGGUUACCCAAAGUGUUCAAUAGAACUGUGGUAGGUGAGUAAUGUCCCCUACUAGAAAGGAGAGGGCAAGGCUGGUGCCAGCCGCCGCGGUAAAACCAGCUCUUCAAGUGGUCGGGAUAAUUAUUGGGCUUAAAGUGUCCGUAGCCGGUUUAGUUAGUUCCUGGUAAAAUCGGGUAGCUUAACUAUCUGCAUGCUAGGAAUACUGCUAUACUAGAGGGCGGGAGAGGUCUGAGGUACUACAGGGGUAGGGGUGAAAUCUUAUAAUCCUUGUAGGACCACCAGUGGCGAAGGCGUCAGACUGGAACGCGCCUGACGGUGAGGGACGAAAGCCAGGGGAGCGAACCGGAUUAGAUACCCGGGUAGUCCUGGCCGUAAACGAUGCAUACUAGGUGAUGGUACGGCCAUGAGCCGUAUCAGUGCCGUAGGGAAACCGUUAAGUGUGCCGCCUGGGAAGUACGGUCGCAAGGCUAAAACUUAAAGGAAUUGGCGGGGGAGCACCACAAGGGGUGAAGCCUGCGGUCC